UACAGAGGGCUCAAGCGUUGUUCGGAAUCAUUGGGCGUAAAGGGUGCGUAGGCGGCGCGGCAAGUCGGGUGUGAAAUCUCGGAGCUUAACUCCGAGACUGCAUUCGAUACUGCCGUGCUUGAGGACUGGAGAGGAGACUGGAAUUUACGGUGUAGCGGUGAAAUGCGUAGAUAUCGUAAGGAAGACCAGUGGCGAAGGCGGGUCUCUGGACAGUUCCUGACGCUGAGGCACGAAGGCCAGGGGAGCAAACGGG
rnacentral:rRNA from 1 species